CAUUUUUCUACUUCAUUGAGAAUGAACAGCGAAUGUGAGUGCCAAGUGGGCCAUUUUUGGUAAGCAGAACUGGCGCUGUUGGAUGCACAAAACGUCAAGAUAAAGAGCCAGAUGGUCUCGCUCAUCAGAUACCAUAAAAGGUGUUGGUCGAUAUAGACAGCAGGACGGUGGCCAUGGAAGUCGGAAUCCGUUAAGGAGUGUGUAACAACUCACCUGCCGAAUCGACUAGUCCUAAAAAUGGAUGGCGCUCGAGCGAGCCUCUUAUACUUGACUGUUACGAUACAAUAAGCCAUUUAAACGGACAUCAUGUCGUAACAAGUAGGACGGUUGAUAUGGUUGCGUCGAAGGCUAACACGUGAGUGUGGCUUGAGCAGUCAUAUGUACAGAUCUUAGUGGUAGUAGCAACUAUUCAAAUGAGAACUUUGAAGACUGACGUGGAGAAAGGUUCCAUGCGAACAGCUAUUGGACAUGGGUCAGUCAGUCCUAAG
rnacentral:rRNA from 1 species